rnacentral:misc_RNA from 1 species
GCUCUCGCAAAACCGAAGCCUUGCGGCGUGAGCUCUCACGCUGCUCGGCGAUGGUUGGAUACGCCCUGGACCCUCGCGGCCAAAGCUGUCGUUGCCUGCUCGGCGGCGACGGUGACGGCCCCGUGGUCUUAAGCGCAAGCCGCGCCGUUGUCCGUUCAUCUCGUAACGUCUUCGACGCUGCCCUGCUCUUGGCGGCCUGUCCGUUUUCUCUACCGCCAGGCAGGACCCGGCUCGCUUACUUUAUUUAUUAUCGUGGCGUUCUCGGGCCUGCAGUCCAUGGCAUCGCAGCUCGUGGGUGGAGAACAAGGGGCUCUAAGACGCUACGUGGUCGGCGCCCGUCGUUGAAUGAAACAUUAUUUGUUUCUUUUCUCCGACCUCAGAUCGGACGAGAUUAC